UCCAAAACUAGCACAAAAUUAUAUACACAAAAUCAAAUUGUUCUCUUUCAAAAUCGCUUCUCCGUCUCGAACGUUUCAUCUCCGGCGAAAUUAUCCACAUCAGCUUCUGGCUUCAUUUUCGCCGGAAUCAGUUCUCUUUCUCUUCUUCCUUCUCUGACGCUUCACCUCGACGCCGAAUCGAUCCGACGAGUCUCCGGCUUUGCAAGAGAUGGAGGCAGAGAUAGAUAAAUGGCUGCAAUUAAGUUCAUCAAUCUAUGCUAUUGUUUCUGGGAAUGGGGUGAAGUCAAAGCAGAGGCUUCCAAAUCAUCUCUCAAUUUUGUUGAUAAACCUUUUCUUCCUCAGAACGUGAAUCGCUAUACUGAUAAAUAUGAAUGGUCUAGCUGGAACAAGAUUGGUGAUCAUUGCUUUUUUAGCUAACACAUUAUGCAAGAUUGUUGGUGGGUUAUGUGAUAAUCUGUUGACAUGUAUAGUAAGAGCGUGGGAUUAUAGUAAACCGUUGUUUGUUGCACAUGCAAUGAGCACUUUCAUAUAGAACAAUCCCGUAACAGAACGUCACCUUGUGUUGCUUGAUGAACUUGGAAUAACUCUCAUUCUGCCCAUCAAAAAGAAAGUAGCCUCUAGAGAUUAUGGUAGUGUUGCAACGGCCCAUGGUGGUGUUUCAUUAGGUCUACAACCGCAAACACACAAACUUUUUGAUGGUCUGUUAUGUUACAAAUGUUAUGUUAUGGAUGGUGUAUUUUGUGAAAUUCGAUGGUUAUUG